rnacentral:rRNA from 1 species
AGCGAACGCUGGCGGCAGGCCUAACACAUGCAAGUCGAACGAACUCUUCGGAGUUAGUGGCGGACGGGUGAGUAACACGUGGGAACGUGCCUUUUGGUUCGGAAUAACUCAGGGAAACUUGUGCUAAUACCGAAUGUGCCCUUCGGGGGAAAGAUUUAUCGCCAUUAUAGCGGCCGGCGUCGGAUUAGCUAGUUGGUGAGGUAACGGCUCACCAAGGCGACGAUCAGUAGCUGGUCUGAGAGGAUGACCAGCCACACUGGGACUGUGACACGGCCCAGAAUCCUACGGGAGGCAGGAGAGGGGAAUCUUGCGAAAUGGGCGGAAGGCUGACGCAGCCAUGCCGGGUGAAUGAUGAAGGUGUUAGGAUUGUAAAAUUCUUUCACCGGGGACGAUAAUGACGGUACCCGGAGAAGAAGCCCCGGCUAACUUCGUG